rnacentral:lncRNA from 1 species
CUAGGCAUUGUUGGACUAUGUAAACUUCUUGUUUGGUUCUAAGCCUCCAUAGUUGUGAAUUUCAAAACUAAUCAACCCUGUUCAAACCAUUCUUUAUAAGAUGGGAUUUAGCUAUUUCCUGAUCAAUAACAAUAGAGAUACUUGGAAUAACAGAAUCAGGUCUUGGAAACUACAAUCUCCACCCUACUUAGGGUAACAAGAUUUAGGAAGGGCUGCAGCAAAACUCAAGAUUUAAUUAUUUGAGAAUAUGGCCUUCAACAGACAUGUGCAAAAAGGACAGACCUCUGGACGGUCCAAGGUCAAACUAGAGCCACCAUUGGCUCAGGUGAGAGACAGGAAGUGAAGUAGAGGACAGCUCAGGAAUUCUGGGGACUUCCUGUGUAGAAGGAGAGAGGUGGUUGGAGCCUGGUGCUUGGAGUGGAGGAGCCCACAGACUGUUCUCCAUUUUGGUCACAUUGCAAACUCCUUGAGAGCAGGGACUGUUACAAUUUGGGGGGUGUCUUCAGCACCUGGGACAGUGCCUGGCACAUGGAGCAAAAUCCAGAGAACUUGAAAGGAAGAGAAAUAGGGAGCCAUGGAAUCUCAUUUAGAGGUAAAGAAAUGAGAGUGUGGGGUGGCUUCUCUCCCUUUGGGUCCUAUCCCUUUCGACCAGUCCACUAGAAGGCAGUGGCUGUUUUCAGAUAGCCUCUAGUUUCCAGGUUGGGACACCAGCCUUUCUAAACACAGAUCGCAGUUGCUUUUUUUUUUCCUUUCAAAAGAAUAAAGGCUUUGCUGCAAUGCA